ACACUGAAAGGGAGAAACAGAAACAAAUGGAUUAGUAUAAUGUUGUUGUUGAUGAUUAUGAUAUGUUGACGAUGAUUUGAUGCUGAUGAAAUUUUAAAAGUGCAAAAAGCAAAAUUUGAAUGUUUAAAGAAUAAGGGGCAGAGGAGAGUCCUAAGUAGUAGUUUUACGGCAAUAUAUUGAUCGAUACAGGAGGUUUAAGAGUGUGAAGAACUGGUAUUUUCAUCAGGAAAAUUGAUAUUGCAGCGGCCAUUAUAUUUGUUAUCUUCCAGACAUUGCCGUCAUACCUGUAAAUGAAUAUAAGUUACCUUAUCAGAACUGAACGUAUAGUGGGUAAAAUAUUUAUGGAAUGUAUACUUUUUGUUUCUUUUUAAAUUAACGGUUCACUGACCGAGAUAGAGUUUUUUUUUCGAGGGACCUCGCAUUAACAUGGUGUAACAACCCGUCUUUGUUGAUUGAAUCAUGGAAGUUUUGGCCACUCAAAGGUUUAAACGCAUAUAGGAAGCCUGUAAAGUGAGUUGAGCUCAAAACAGCAGGUAUUUUCGGUCAUGAAUAAUAUGUAAUCUUCAGAUUACUCUCUUAUGUUUUCUUCACUCCCCUUCUCUCCCUUUUUGGCGAUACAAAUUAUUGCGGCUGUCUUGGGAAGAAAAGAAGCGCAGUUAUGGCAUCCUAAUCUAAUUCACCUCGCGUAAGUCGACAGAAGGAAACCUCUUACUAGCAGCCAGCAUAUGUGACCAUUUUCAGAAACUGUUCCAUGAGAUAUGAGGAUAACCAAUCAACUGAAGCCCAACCAUCUUUAAUCCAGCUAGAUUCAAUCGCAUCACUUCAGCCUGGUCUACUAAGCAUGGAUGACCCUCCACCAAAAGCUAAUAUUUCUUGGCGAUGAUCCCACUUCAGAGAUCCUCACCCCCAAUGAGAUCUCCGCCUCCACCUCACCCAGGCCGGAAAUCUUCCAAGGGAGACAACAGUCGUCAGUGCAUGCUCUCUCUUCAAACGAUCACUACACUUCUCCGGUAACCAAAAUGCACUCGUCAAUUCAUAACCGGAAGAGUCUCUAACCAGCACAUCACCUUCAUCAUCAUCAACACCAACCAUUAUGAUAGCAACAUCAACUAAUCCUUUCUUUCACAAUAAUCUCCAGCAACUUUUAAUCGUAGUUCGUAGUUCGUUAUGAUAUGCCAAACUUUUUGUGAAUCUUUUUACUUAUUGAUUUUCAUGUGAUUUGGACAAAGUCGGGUAUUGGUUAGAGUUGGGUAGGAUGCUGACCACUUCACGUUGACAUUUCCUCAAGCUAUUUUUCUCCAUCGCUUUUCUCCUGGUCACCCUCAACUCGUUUCAUCCAAUUUUACUUUCCGUUUUUUUUCUUUCACAAAUUCAUCAAUAAUGGACAUAAUUAUAAUUCGUUAUGUUAUAUCUUAAAGGUAUUGAUUGUCUUAUUUCGCUCGCAUUACCAACAUACUACGAGCUAAUAACUCAUCGAGAAGCUUGCACGGUUCUCUUUGCUUUUACUCUGUGUACGAUGUCACUUUCUUAGAGGGCACCUGAAUGACUCAAGUCAGCAACUGACGCUCUGUGUGCAACGGACAUUGUGCGCUUCAAAGAUUAUUAGCGCAGGAAGACGCUCCUGUUUAUUACGUAAUACAUGAAAAUCUAUCUUUAUCGUUGGGCGGUAGAAAUUUUCUCGUAUUUGUCGUUCGACAGUGUGUGCCAUCAGCUAUUGUUGUGUCGUUGAGGCCUAUCUCGAGCGCUAUUUCUGAUGAUCUUCUUCUUCUUCAAUUGAUUAUGCAUGGGGAAAAACUAUUUCAUAAACAACACACCAGCAUACAUAUGAAUGUGAGAAAAACAAUGGGGCGUUAGAAUAAUUAAAAAAUCUGAACCCUCUAAACAGGAUCGGACUGCUAGGAUACAUAUCAACUGGCCCUCAUACCACACAUCGACUGGUCCUCGUGGGUUUGGGUCAAGUAAUGAAGACAAAACGAGCGGAAGCAAAACGACCGAGCGCUAGAAAGAUUUUGAUGUGCUUUCAGCCUUCUACAAAGUAUUUUGACGGACUUUUAUCGAUGAUUGGGGGCGCAAUUACAAACUAUAUCUUUCAAAGAAGCCAGAUGCACAUGUGAUAGAACUAUUAAAAUCUUUGUUGUUGAUAAAAUCCUUCGAAGCACUUUACGUUGCACUGUAAAUGUAUUAUAGAAAGAAGUAAAGAAUACACGGUUAAACACCAAAAAGGGAAUGACUUAAAUUUCUUGAAAAUGCUAUUUUUAUAUCAUGGAUUCCAA